GACAGAGGGUGCAAACGUUGUUCGGAAUUACUGGGCGUAAAGCGUGUGUAGGCGGCCAUAUAAGUCGGAUGUGAAAGCCCUGGGCUCAACCCAGGAAGUGCACUCGAUACUGUAUGGCUUGAGUACUGGAGAGGUUGGUGGAAUUCUCGGUGUAGAGGUGAAAUUCGUAGAUAUCGAGAGGAACACCGGUGGCGAAGGCGGCCAACUGGACAGAUACUGACGCUGAGACACGAAAGCGUGGGGAGCAAACGGG
rnacentral:rRNA from 1 species